rnacentral:rRNA from 1 species
GACGAACGCUGGCGGCGUGCUUAACACAUGCAAGUCGAACGGAAAGGCCCUGCUUUUGUGGGGUGCUCGAGUGGCGAACGGGUGAGUAACACGUGAGUAACCUGCCCUUGACUUUGGGAUAACUUCAGGAAACUGGGGCUAAUACCGGAUAGGAGCUCCUGCUGCAUGGUGGGGGUUGGAAAGUUUCGGCGGUUGGGGAUGGACUAGCGGCUUAUCAGCUUGUUAGUGGGGUAGUGGCUUACGAAGGCUUUGACGGGUAGCCGGCCUGAGAGGGUGACCGGGGACCUUGGGACUGAGAUACGGCGCAGACUCCUACGGGAGGCAGUAGUGGGGAGUAUUGCACAGUGGGGGGAAGCCUGAUGCGGCAACGCUGCGUGCGGGAUGACGGGCUUCGGGUUGUAAACCGCUUUGGCCUGUGACGAAGCGUGAGUGACGGUAAUGGGUAAAGAAGCACCGGCUAACUACGUG